rnacentral:rRNA from 1 species
CCAAAUGGGCCAGUGCAAAUCCUACUUGGAUAACUGUGGUAAUUCCAGAGCUAAUACAUGCAACUGAUAUCCCGAAGGCGAUGGUUGUGCUUGCUUGUCUUGCGCUUUCACUGUUCUGACGGAUGCUUUUAUUAGACCAAGCCGCUGAGGACUUGAGGGUUCGCUCUCCUGUCUGACUCGUGUAAUGGUGACUCUGGAUAACCAAUUCUGACAAGCGCACGUACUUCUCUUCUGAGCGAGACGGCGCUGCCACUUUCGAGUGUCUGCCUUAUCAGCUAUCAACCGUUCGUUAUGCGCGACCGAUGGCUUUGACGGGUAACGGGGAAUCAGGGUUCGAUUCCGGAGAGGCAGCCUGAGAGACGGCUACCACGUCCAAGGACGGCAGCAGGCACGCAAAUUACCCAAUCCCAGCAAAUGGGGGAGGUAGUGACGAAAUCUAACGAUGCGGGCGCCCUUUCUGGGGCCCCGCAAUCGGAAUGGGCACUUUCUAAACAACCUGUUGAGAACCUACUGAAGG